GAUGAACGCUAGCGGCAGGCCUAAUACAUGCAAGUCGAACGGAUAUAUGUUUUUCGGAAUAUAUAUUAGUGGCGCACGGGUGAGUAACACGUACAUAACUUGCCCUCAAGCGGGGGAUAGCCUUGGGAAACUGAGAGUAAUACCCCAUAGAAUUAUUGGACGGCAUCGUUUGAUAAUUAAAACUACGGUGCUUGGGGAUAGAUGUGCGUCUGAUUAGCUAGUUGGUGAGGUAACUGCUCACCAAGGCGACGAUCAGUAGGGGGCGUGAGAGCGUGGCCCCCCACACGGGUACUGAGACACGGACCCGACUCCUACGGGAGGCAGCAGUAAGGAAUAUUGGUCAAAUGGAGGGAACUCUGAACCAGCCAUGCCGCGUGAAGGAUGACGGCCCUCUGGGUUGUAAACUUCUUUUGCCGAGGAAGAAUCAUGACGGUACUCGGAGAAUAAGAGGUUGCUAACUCUGUG
rnacentral:rRNA from 1 species